GCCGGGCGCGAUGGCUCACGCCUGUAAUCCUAACACUUUGGGAGGCUGAGACAGGUGGAUCUCCUGAGGUCAGGAGUUCAAGACCAGCCUGGCCAACAUGGUGAAACCCUGUCUCUA
ensembl:misc_RNA Metazoa_SRP Metazoan signal recognition particle RNA